ACAUUCAUAUCCUGGAGGAGAUAAAGGCCCCAUUUGGCUCUUGGAGACCGCAGCCACUUCCUGGCCACUACCGGCCAGUGCCAUUCUCCUGCGAGGUUGGAUCUUGGGAGACUCCUGCUCAAACUCUAACUUGACCUGGCCAGGGGGAUUUUAAAGGAGGACCAAGUUGAGUGGCUUCGAGGUCACCCCACGCCACUGCAGGACAGGUCAGCUGCUGCUCCCCUCCGCGCUGUGCCGGAGGCUCAGACAUAGGCGGAUCCUCGUGAAGUCACCUUGAGGCCAAGGCCAGGGCAGCAGGUGCAGACAGCCUCCCUGGGAUUGCAUGCUGAAGCUGCAUUUUGCCAACAUUCUGCCGGGCUGAAGCUGCAGACACGCUGGCGAUGCUCAGGCAAGCUUGUCACCUGCUCCCGGCUGCCAGGCAGAGCUGGCGGGUGUCCCCGCUCUUGCAUGGAUGCUCUUUCAGCUGUGACUCCCAGACCAGCCGAAGAACCCAGAAAGGAAGAAAGGAAAACGUUGCACCUCGACAACAAGGAAAUGAAGUCCUAGCACAGGGGUGCCCUCGUGGUCAUGCGGCAGCGGGGACCCAGCACAGGGGCUGCUCCACAGUCGGGCCCACAGCGCCCCCAUCAGACGCAGUCUUGAAACCUUUCUGGCUCCAGCCUUGGUCUUUGUAGUUUCCUGUUAAUUUAAUCCCUGAACCUUCGCCAUGUAAAUAGCGCAGCCCUCUGCUAUCCAGGUGCCUGGAAUACAGAUGUGAUGGCUGGCGCGGAUGCUGCUAGCUUGGAUUAUGAAGAUGAGAUGGGCGAAUAGUGAUCUGGAUUGAAACCUGAGUCCUCAAGAACUAGUGAUACAAAGCCACUAUGUCGGCCAUGAGCGGUCCACCCCCACACUUCUACAAAAGGGAAAAAAUAAACUUUCAUUGUGUUUGGAGUCUGUAUUAUCA